UGGGCUUCAAUGAGAGGACCGAUACCCAUAGGAAGCUAAAGGAGUGGGAGUGGUGCCUUCGCUCCUGCUCCAUGGAGGAGGAAGGCUCGGCCUUGCCAAGGCUACAUAGUCACCCGACAAACGAGUCUCUAUCAUUUGCUACUUCUACAUUUGGGUAGUUGCUUGUUGCAAGCACUGCCCUAAUGUGAUCAGUAUCUGAACCUACUAUAGGAGCUGGAACUACUCGGUGAUGACCAUUGGAGCUAUAUGUGCCUCUAAAGAAGGUAAAGCUCUUUGAGGUCUCUAGAUAGAGCUAUUGGAAUCUACAUGGACAUUGGGAUGAGCAGUGGAUG
rnacentral:lncRNA from 1 species